rnacentral:lncRNA from 1 species
CAUCCCAUAAAGUGCAUGUCCCUGGGCAAUAACCAUUUUUUAUCUUUCUCUUGCUUUUCUAGGAGUACUUCUUAUUACUAUAACCUAAACUUGAAUCUACUGCUGACAGAAGAGUUUAAAUAAAACAACUAUACUCUUCCUUGAGGCAUUGAAAACCACACCCUGCAGGCAGAUGGGAGAAAGCCAAGAUUUCACCAUGGAUCCAAUGGAAAAUCCUGUUCUUCAAGUGAGAGAAAGCAAGUCACAAAACAGCAGCCACAAUUCCACAAGGUAAGUCACCUCAAAUUCACACGAUAAUACACUGUGUGCAUUGAUAAUGUACAGUAGCCAU